GGGCUGUUGGUCUAGUGGUAUGAUUCUCGCUUUGGGAAACUGCGAGAGGUCCCGGGUUCGAUCCCCGGACAGCCCC